AACGAACGCUGGCGGCAGGCCUAACACAUGCAAGUCGAACGCUCCGCAAGGAGAGUGGCAGACGGGUGAGUAACACGUGGGAAUCUUCCUAUCGGUGCGGAAUAGCUCAGGGAAACUUGAGGUAAUACCGCAUACGCCCUCAGGGGGAAAGAUUUAUCGCCGAUAGAUGAGCCCGCGUCUGACUAGCUAGUUGGUGGGGUAAUGGCCCACCAAGGCGACGAUCAGUAGCUGGUCUGAUAGGAUGACCAGCCACACUGGGACUGAGACACAGCCCAGACUCCUACGGGAGGCAGCAGUGGGGAAUAUUGGACAAUGGGCGCAAGCCUGAUCCAGCCAUGCCGCGUGAGUGAUGAAGGCCCUAGGGUUGUAAAGCUCUUUCGCCAGGGACGAUAAUGACGGUACCUGGAUAAGAAGCCCCGGCUAACUUCGUGCCAGCAGCCGCCGUAACAC
rnacentral:rRNA from 1 species